GUCCCAUCACUAGACAGCGAACGCGAAACUCAACUGUGUGAGCAAGCGGAACGUGUCCUUGACUGCGCAAGUCCGCUAUGUCCUACACACCCACCUACCGGACACCGUGAGCUGGAGCGGACCCCAACAGGAACGCACUGUGCACCGCUCCUGCCUGCGGGAUCUGUAUGCGUUCACCAAGCUUGAUCGAAAACGAGAAAACGAGUGAAGUGAGAAAGAGAGAAAGAGCGAAAAAAGAACAGAAAGAGAUAACCUCAUCGAGCCAAGACGAAUCAUGCUCGAAGGAAAGACCGGGAUUGUGGAAUGAUCUUAACGAGACGAGUAUAUACUAACAGGGAAGGAGCAAUUUCUAUGAGGUUCCGAUCUUUCGAUCCCGUUUUCUUCCCUUUAAAAGUCCUUAUUGAAUAUAUCGGUAUUUUUUUCUACUACAUAACCUCAAAUGCUCUUGUAAAAGAAAACGAUAGGCAGAACUUUCUUGUUCCUGGAGAUGAUAAAAGUCUUAGUUUCCGGUUCGUUGAACUGGAACUGAGACGAAGUGUAUAAGAUUCGGUCUACGGAGUUUGAUCAUAGACGACCGGCUCUUAGGUUAGAAGAUAUCCGGAUUGCUUUGAAAUUACCGCGCGUACGAUUACCACGAUGAUUAAUUAACGAAUUAUUCACUAAUGAAAUAUAAGAAAAUAUACAAAGUGGUUAUACAUACAAAAUCAUUCGGAGAGAUUUUAUAAUUAAAAAUAAGACAAAAAUCAAAAAUAACAAAUUGCAA